rnacentral:pre_miRNA from 1 species
UGUUCGGUGCUACCUCGUGUUCGGUGGUGCCCUAAUUUCCUUUAUGUAGAGCGUACGGCCUAUUCGACACGUGUCAACCCUGUCGAUGGCCAGAAAACUGGGGCAUCACUGAGCACGGGGUAGCACUGAAU